ACACCAUACAGUGGAUCAUUUGGCUCGGGGGUCGAUGAAGAACGGAGCUAGCUCCGAGACGUAAUGUGAACUGCAGGACAUACGAAUAUCGACACUUUGAACGCGCAUUGCGGACACUCGAUUCUUAUCGAGUGUCCAUGUUUGGGUCAGGGUCGGUUACAAACUCUG
rnacentral:rRNA from 3 species